AAUCAGGCCCUGCGCUAUCUGUGAUUGCCCAACCCCGUCAGGCCCGGAAGGGAGCAGCGGUAAGUGAUUUUCAGUUGAGACGCAAACGGUCUGGCUCAC
rnacentral:SRP_RNA from 1 species